CAAUAGCGUAUAUUUAAGUUGUUGCAGUUAAAAAGCUCGUAGUCGGAUUUUGGCUGAGAACGAACGGUCCGCCGUUAGGUGUGCACUGUUUGGUCUCAGCUUCCUGGUGAGGAGGUGUGCUUCACGGCCACUUAGUCACCGUGGUUACUUUGAAAAAAUUAGAGUGUUCAAAGCGGGCUUACGCUUGAAUAUAUUAGCAUGGAAUAACACCAUAGGACUCCUGUCCUAUUUCGUUGGUCUCGGGACGGGAGUAAUGAUUAAGAGGAACAGUUGGGGGCAUUCGUAUUCCAUUGUCAGAGGUGAAAUUCUUGGAUUUAUGAAAGACGAACUUCUGCGAAAGCAUUUGCCAAGGAUGUUUUCAUUGA
rnacentral:rRNA from 1 species